rnacentral:lncRNA from 1 species
GAAAAUACCUUAAAGAUCAUCAAGUCCAAAAACAACCUAACCAUACUACCCUAAUGAACAAUCCCCCACUAAAUCGUGUCCCUCAGCACCACAUCCAAACAGUUAUUAAAUACAUCCAAGGAUGGGGACUCAACCACCUCCCUGGGGAGCCUAUUCCAGUGCUUAAUAACCCUUUCUGUAAAGAAGCUUUUCCUGAUAUCCAACCUAAACUUACCCUGGUGCUCCUUGAGGCCAUUUUCUCUCAUCCUGUCACCCACCAGUGAGAAGAGAUCAACCCUGCUCUCGCUGGAAGCACCUUUCAGAUAUUGGCAGAGAGCAAUAAGGUCUCCCCUCAGCCUCCUUUUCCCCAGAAUAAACAGCUCUAGUUCCUUCCGUUGCUCCUUGUGGGGCAUAUUCUCCAAGCCCUUCACAAGCCUUGUUCAAGUCAUUAAUCUCUGGACAACUACAUGCCUGGUAGCUCGAAUGACUAUCUACACAGUGAGUGCAUGGACAGCAAAUGGAAUCUUGUUUCAAGGGGGAGGGGUGAGAUCUUUGUGCUGUGUUUUCAGGGGAGAACAACACAAUCCAUGUGGUAAGCCUCCUGCAGUUCAAUGUGCCAUCUCCUAAUAGGAUGCAAAACACCUGCCUGGAGAGAUCAGGAUUAUGUGAGAUGAGCUCAUGCGCUGCAUGUUUUUUUUCUAAUGAAUCCCUCUUUAACAUACAUUUAUGCCAGAUGACAAAGUAAAAGAAUCAAUUUCCUUAAAUAUUGAGCAUCCAUACGUAAAUUGCAGCCUAGUGGAAUCUUUUCCUAUCCAAAAAGCAAAUAAUUUUUUAUCGGUCGACUUUGAAAUUCAGGCAAGUGUUCACUUGAAGUGUUAUGAAGUGUCAGCUUUUCUAGAGCAUUUACUUUUCAUGCUCUUAAUUUCUCAUUAUCUCGCCUUAUUCUCUUGCCAUGUCAGUGUUUUCAUUCGAUGGCUUCCAUGUGACAAGAGCUCUUGCUGUGUGAGCGAUACAAAUGUAGCUUUAAAAGUGGUACAACUUGCUAUUAAGGCAGCUCCCCUCGGGAAUUCCUUAAAGCUGCAGUGAGACAAGGGACACAAGAGAAACUUUGCUAUGCACAGCAGGCUGAGCCCUCCUGCAGUCCCAGCUAUGGAGUGCUCUGCACAAUCUGUCUCUUUUUGCUCCUGAUGUGCAGAGGUUUGAUCUGCUUUUGCACCAGCAAGAGAGAAGUGGCACCUCACACUUAUAUUUCUGAAUAUUCUUGCUGCAUUCAG